GACGAACGCUGGCGGCGUGCUUAACACAUGCAAGUCGAACGGAAAGGCCCUGCUUUUGUGGGGUGCUCGAGUGGCGAACGGGUGAGUAACACGUGAGUAACCUGCCCUUGACUUUGGGAUAACUUCAGGAAACUGGGGCUAAUACCGGAUAGGAGCUCCUGCUGCAUGGUGGGGGUUGGAAAGUUUCGGCGGUUGGGGAUGGACUAGCGGCUUAUCAGCUUGUUGGUGGGGUAGUGGCUUACCAAGGCUUUGACGGGUAGCCGGCCUGAGAGGGUGACCGGCCACAUUGGGCCUGAGGUACGGCCCAGACUCCUACGGUAGGCAGCAGUGGGGAAUAUUGCACAGUGGGCGGAAGCCUGAUGCAGCAACGCCGCGUGCGGGAUGACGGCCUUCGGGUUGUAAACCGCUUUCGCCUGUGACGAAGCGUUAGUGACGGUAAUGGGUAAAGAAGCACCGGCUAACUACGUG
rnacentral:rRNA from 1 species